rnacentral:rRNA from 1 species
AGUGAACGCUGGCGGUAGGCCUAACACAUGCAAGUCGAAUGGCAGCACAGUAAGAGCUUGCUCUUACGGGUGGCGAGUGGCGGACGGGUGAGGAAUGCAUCGGAAUCUACUUUUUCGUGGGGGAUAACGUAGGGAAACUUACGCUAAUACCGCAUACGACCUACGGGUGAAAGCAGGGGAUCUUCGGACCUUGCGCGAUUGAAUGAGCCGAUGUCGGAUUAGCUAGUUGGCGGGGUAAAGGCCCACCAAGGCGACGAUCCGUAGCUGGUCUGAGAGGAUGAUCAGCCACACUGGAACUGAGACACGGUCCAGACUCCUACGGGAGGCAGCAGUGGGGAAUAUUGGACAAUGGGCGCAGGCCUGAUCCAGCCAUACCGCGUGGGUGAAGAAGGCCUUCGGGUUGUAAAGCCCUUUUGUUGGGAAAGAAAAGCAGCAGGUUAAUACCCCGCUGUUCUGACGGUACCCAAAGAAUAAGCACCGGCUAACUUCGUG